rnacentral:rRNA from 1 species
AUUGAACGCUGGCGGCAUGCCUUACACAUGCAAGUCGAGCGCGAAAGGGGGCAACCCCGAGUAGAGCGGCGGACGGGUGAGUAACACAUCGGAACGUGCCCAGUAGUGGGGGACAACCUCGAGAAAUCGAGGCUAAUACCGCAUACGACCCACGGGUGAAAGCGGGGGACCCAAAGGAAACUGAGGGCCUCGCGCUAUUGGGGCGGCCGAUGUCCGAUUAGCUAGUUGGCGGGGUAAGAGCCCACCAAGGCGACGAUCGGUAGCUGGUCUGAGAGGACGACCAGCCACACUGGGACUGAGACACGGCCCAGACUCCUACGGGAGGCAGCAGUGGGGAAUUUGGACAAUGGGGCAACCCUGAUCCAGCCAUGCCGCGUGCGGGAAGAAGGCC